rnacentral:misc_RNA from 1 species
GAAAUGCGAUAAGUAGUGUGAAUUGCAGAAUUCAGUGAAUCAUCGAAUCUUUGAACGCACAUUGCGCCCCUUGGUAUUCCAUGGGGCAUGCCUGUUCGAGCGUCAUUUGUACCCUCAAGCUCUGCUUGGUGUUGGGUGUUUGUCCCGUCUCCGCGCGUGGACUCGCCCCAAAGUGAUUGGCAGCCGGCGUACUGGUCCCGGAGCGCAGCACAUGUCGCGCAAACGAGUGCCCUGGUACGGCGGCGUCCAUAAGCCCCUCUCUCACGCUCUUGACCUCGGAUCAGGUAGGGAUACCCGCUGAACUUAAGC